UACAGAGGUGGCAAGCGUUGUUCGGAAUUACUGGGCGUAAAGGGCGCGUAGGCGGCUUGGUCAGUCCCGUGUGAAAUCCCCGGGCUCAACCUGGGAAUUGCAUUCGAUACUGGAUAGCUAGAGUUCGGCAGAGGGAAGUGGAAUUUCGGGUGUAGCGGUGAAAUGCGUAGAUAUCCGAAGGAACAUCAGUGGCGAAAGCGACUUCCUGGACCAGAACUGACGAUCAGGCACGAAAGCGUGGGGAGCAAACAGG
rnacentral:rRNA from 1 species